rnacentral:rRNA from 1 species
AUUGAAACUUCGGUCGAUUUAAUUUAAUUCUAGUGGCGGACGGGUGAGUAACGCGUGGGUAACCUGCCUUAUACAGGGGGAUAACAGCCAGAAAUGGCUGCUAAUACCGCAUAAGCGCACAGAGCUGCAUGGCUCAGUGUGAAAAACUCCGGUGGUAUAAGAUGGACCCGCGUUGGAUUAGCUUGUUGGUGGGGUAACGGCCCACCAAGGCAACGAUCCAUAGCCGGCCUGAGAGGGUGAACGGCCACAUUGGGACUGAGACACGGCCCAGACUCCUACGGGAGGCAGCAGUGGGGAAUAUUGCACAAUGGGGGAAACCCUGAUGCAGCGACGCCGCGUGAAGGAAGAAGUAUCUCGGUAUGUAAACUUCUAUCAGCAGGGAAGAUAGUGACGGUACCUGACUAAGAAGCCCCGGCUAACUACGUGCCAGCAGCCGCGGUAAUACGUAGGGGGCAAGCGUUAUCCGGAUUUACUGGGUGUAAAGGGAGCGUAGAC